AAUGGGUCAGCGACUUAUAUUCUGUAGCAAGGUUAACCGAAUAGGGGAGCCGAAGGGAAACCGAGUCUUAACUGGGCGUUAAGUUGCAGGGUAUAGACCCGAAACCCGGUGAUCUAGCCAUGGGCAGGUUGAAGGUUGGGUAACACUAACUGGAGGACCGAACCGACUAAUGUUGAAAAAUUAGCGGAUGACUUGUGGCUGGGGGUGAAAGGCCAAUCAAACCGGGAGAUAGCUGGUUCUCCCCGAAAGCUAUUUAGGUAGCGCCUCGUGAAUUCAUCUCCGGGGGUAGAGCACUGUUUCGGCAAGGGGGUCAUCCCGACUUACCAACCCGAUGCAAACUGCGAAUACCGGAGAAUGUUAUCACGGGAGACACACGGCGGGUGCUAACGUCCGUCGUGAAGAGGGAAACAACCCAGACCGCCAGCUAAGGUCCCAAAGUCAUGGUUAAGUGGGAAACGAUGUGGGAAGGCCCAGACAGCCAGGAUGUUGGCUUAGAAGCAGCCAUCAUUUAAAGAAAGCGUAAUAGCUCACUGGUCGAGUCGGCCUGCGCGGAAGAUGUAACGGGGCUAAACCAUGCACCGAAGCUGCGGCAGCGACGCUUAUGCGUUGUUGGGUAGGGGAGCGUUCUGUAAGCCUGUGAAGGUGUGCUGUGAGGCAUGCUGGAGGUAUCAGAAGUGCGAAUGCUGACAUAAGUAACGAUAAAGCGGGUGAAAAGCCCGCUCGCCGGAAGACCAAGGGUUCCUGUCCAACGUUAAUCGGGGCAGGGUGAGUCGACCCCUAAGGCGAGGCCGAAAGGCGUAGUCGAUGGGAAACAGGUUAAUAUUCCUGUACUUGGUGUUACUGCGAAGGGGGGACGGAGAAGGCUAUGUUGGCCGGGCGACGGUUGUCCCGGUUUAAGCGUGUAGGCUGGUUUUCCAGGCAAAUCCGGAAAAUCAAGGCUGAGGCGUGAUGACGAGGCACUACGGUGCUGAAGCAACAAAUGCCCUGCUUCCAGGAAAAGCCUCUAAGCAUCAGGUAACAUCAAAUCGUACCCCAAACCGACACAGGUGGUCAGGUAGAGAAUACCAAGGCGCUUGAGAGAACUCGGGUGAAGGAACUAGGCAAAAUGGUGCCGUAACUUCGGGAGAAGGCACGCUGAUAUGUAGGUGAAGUCCCUUGCGGAUGGAGCUGAAAUCAGUCGAAGAUACCAGCUGGCUGCAACUGUUUAUUAAAAACACAGCACUGUGCAAACACGAAAGUGGACGUAUACGGUGUGACGCCUGCCCGGUGCCGGAAGGUUAAUUGAUGGGGUCAGCGCAAGCGAAGCUCUUGAUCGAAGCCCCGGUAAACGGCGGCCGUAACUAUAACGGUCCUAAGGUAGCGAAAUUCCUUGUCGGGUAAGUUCCGACCUGCACGAAUGGCGUAAUGAUGGCCAGGCUGUCUCCACCCGAGACUCAGUGAAAUUGAACUCGCUGUGAAGAUGCAGUGUACCCGCGGCAAGACGGAAAGACCCCGUGAACCUUUACUAUAGCUUGACACUGAACAUUGAGCCUUGAUGUGUAGGAUAGGUGGGAGGCUUUGAAGUGUGGACGCCAGUCUGCAUGGAGCCGACCUUGAAAUACCACCCUUUAAUGUUUGAUGUUCUAACGUGGACCCGUGAUCCGGGUUGCGGACAGUGUCUGGUGGGUAGUUUGACUGGGGCGGUCUCCUCCUAAAGAGUAACGGAGGAGCACGAAGGUUGGCUAAUCCUGGUCGGACAUCAGGAGGUUAGUGCAAUGGCAUAAGCCAGCUUGACUGCGAGCGUGACGGCGCGAGCAGGUGCGAAAGCAGGUCAUAGUGAUCCGGUGGUUCUGAAUGGAAGGGCCAUCGCUCAACGGAUAAAAGGUACUCCGGGGAUAACAGGCUGAUACCGCCCAAGAGUUCAUAUCGACGGCGGUGUUUGGCACCUCGAUGUCGGCUCAUCACAUCCUGGGGCUGAAGUAGGUCCCAAGGGUAUGGCUGUUCGCCAUUUAAAGUGGUACGCGAGCUGGGUUUAGAACGUCGUGAGACAGUUCGGUCCCUAUCUGCCGUGGGCGCUGGAGAACUGAGGGGGGCUGCUCCUAGUACGAGAGGACCGGAGUGGACGCAUCACUGGUGUUCGGGUUGUCAUGCCAAUGGCACUGCCCGGUAGCUAAAUGCGGAAGAGAUAAGUGCUGAAAGCAUCUAAGCACGAAACUUGCC
rnacentral:rRNA from 1 species